rnacentral:misc_RNA from 1 species
AACGCAAAUUGCGCUCGAGGCUUCGGCCGAGAGCAUGCCUGCCUCAGCGUCGGCUUACUCUCUCGCCUCCCCUUUCUCUCCUCUUUGCGGAGGAAGACAAAGCGGGAGCGGACCUGGUCGUGUCGGCUGCCCAGGAGCAGCCGGGUCGGCCGAAAUAGAGAGGCUUGAGCACGGCCCCGCUGAACAGAGCGGCAGCUUGGUAGGUGGAGUCUGCCUCUGCAUACCGCUGCCGCGCUGGGGGCCGCUUGCUGGGAGCCGGCUGGAACAGGCGCAAAUGUUGUCGCCUGCAACUCUCAAAUUUCGACCUGAGCUCAGGCAAGAGCACCCGCUGAACUUAA